rnacentral:rRNA from 1 species
GAUGAACGCUGGCGGCGUGCUUAACACAUGCAAGUCGAACGGAAAGGCCCAAGCUUGCUUUGUUACUCGAGUGGCGAACGGGUGAGUAACACGUGGGGGAUCUGCCCUUCACUGCGUGAUAAACCUUGGAAACUGGGUCUAAUACCGGAUAGGAUGAUGUUUUGCAUACGAUUGUGGAAAGUUUUUUCGGUUUGGUAUGAGCUCGGGAACGAUCAGCUUGUUGGUGGGUAAAUGGCAUACCAAGGCCUUGACGGGUAGCCGGCAUGUGAGAGUGUAGGGCCACACUGGGACUGAGAGACAGCCCAGACUCGGAAGGGAGGCAGCAGUGGGGAAUAUCGGACAGUGGGAGGAAGCGUGAUGGAGGGACGCCGAGUGAGGGAUGACGGCCCUCGGGUUGUAAGCACCUUUCGGUAGGGACGUAGGCUCUUUGUGACGGUACCUAGUGAGAAAGCCACGGCUAACUACGUG